UGACAUCCCAACGAACCUGCCGAAAGGCAGGAGUGCCCGCAAGGGAGCGCGGAGACAGGUGGUGCAUGGCUGUCGUCAGCUCGUGUCGUGAGAUGUUGGGUUAAGUCCCGCAACGAGCGCAACCCUUGCCCCUUGUUGCCAUCAGGUCAUGCUGGGCACUCUAGGGGAGCUGCCCCGGUUAACGGGGAGGAAGGCGGGGAUGACGUCAAGUCAUCAUGCCCCUUACGCCCUGGGCUACACACGUGCUACAAUGGCCGGUACAAAGGGAUGCAAUACCGCGAGGUGGAGCUAAACCCAAAAAGCCGGUCUAAGUUCAGAUUGGAGUCUGCAACUCGACUCCAUGAAGGAGGAAUCGCUAGUAAUCGCGUAUCAGCACGACGCGGUGAAUACGUUCCCGGGCCUUGUACACACCGCCCGUCACACCACGAAAGUCAGCUGUACUCGAAGUCGCU
rnacentral:rRNA from 1 species